UGCUGCUGUUCCCGGAGUCGCGGCCUGGAGUUGCAGAGCUCCGAAAUCCGGCGAAUCAGCCUCUAUCGCGCCGAGGUCCGGCGCCUCCUUCUCUCUUCCUCAAUCUUGCUCUAAUCUCUCCUAAAUCAAACGCUCCCUUCGGUUCUCUCUCGAUCUGUAUCCAGCCGAAGAAUCCACGCCGCUGCAACUGGAUUCCGGCGAGCGUCGCGUCGCCUAACGCCGCCGAGUCAGCCGUCUGGAACUGCUGCUGCUCGCCCGGAGUCCGCUGUCGCCGCCUGGAGCUGC
rnacentral:lncRNA from 1 species